ensembl:lncRNA
ACAUGCACUACAGUGUUCAAGGCAGCACUAUUUACAAGAGCCAAGACAUGGAAGCCACCUAAUGGUCAUCGACAGAGGACUGGGUAAAGAAGACGUGGUACAUACACACGAUGGAAUGUGUAACACAGCCAUAAAAAGAAUGAAAUAAUGCCAUUUUCAAAUAUGGAUGGACCUCGAGAUUAUCAUACUAAGUGAAGUGAGCCAGACAAAGAUAAAUAUCAUAUGAUAUCAUUUCCACGUGGAAUCUAAAAAAUGAUGCAAAUGAACUUAUUUACAAAACAGAAACCGAGUCACAGACAGAGAAAACAAACUUAUGGUUACUAAAGGGGAAAGGUGAGUGAGAGGGAUAAAUUAGGAGUUUGGGAUUAAAAUGUACACAUUAGUAUAUAUAAAAUAGUUAACCAACAUAGGCCUACUUUACAGCACAGGGAACUAUACUCAAUAUCUUGUAGGAUAACAAUGAGGUUCUGCUGUACAGCACAGGGAGCUACAUCCAGUCUCCUGGGAUAGACUAUGAUGAAAGAUAAUAUAAGAAAAGGAAGAGAUAUAUCUAUAUCUAUUUAUAUUGAUAUAGAUAUAUAUAUGUAUGACUGGGUCACUUUGCUGUACAGCAGAUAUUGGUGCAAUAUCGUAAAUCAACUACACUUUAAUUUUUUUUAAAAAAGGAAAAAAACCAACACUGGGAAGUAACCUAAAAAAAUCUUUUAGGAGUUCCCGUCAUGGCGCAGUGGUUAACGAAUCCGACUAGGAACCAUGAGGUUGUGGGUUCGAUCCCUGCCCUCACUCAGUGGGUUAAGGAUCCGGCGUUGCCGUGAGCUAUGGUGUAGGUCGCAGACACGGCUCGGAUCCCAUGUUGCUGUGGCUCUGGCGUAGGCUGGCAGCUAUGGCUCUGAUUUGACCCCUAGCCUGGGAACCUCCAUAUGCCACGGGAGCGGCCCAAGAAAUGGCAAAAAGACAAAAAAAAAAAAAAAAAUCUUUUAAUAGCCUUUAAUGGGAGAGGAUAUAAAAAAUAAUACAUAUAUUCAUAUAUGGAUGUACAACUGAAUCAGGUUUCUAUACUCCUAAAACACCACAUUGUAAAUCAACCAUAUGCAAAUUGUUAGCAUUCCUAACUGUGGCAAUAACUAAUUAAAAAUAAUAGAAACAAGAUACCAUUGACAGUAGCCACAAGACAUAGGAAACGCCUGGGAAUGAAUCUCACAAGACAUGGGAGGAUUGAAAUAUAGGAAAUCAUAAAACCUUACUGAAGAGCAUAAUGAAAAAUCUCAGUCAAUGGUGAGAAAUGUCAUAUUCAAUGAUGGAAAUAUCCAAUAUCCUGGAGAUUUCAUUCUCAAAUUAAGAUAAGUUCAAUGACAAUCUCAAUCAAAAACUCAGUCGGGAGGAUUUUUGGGGAAACUUGUCAAACUGAUCCAAAAUUUGUGUGGAAGACACAUGGGCAGGAAUAAAAUGUUUCUGAGAAAGAAUAACAGGGCUCUUCUCAGUACCUCUGAAGAGCGACCAUCUCUAGAGUAGGGAACAGUGUGGUGCUGGCAUAAGAAACAGAACAGCUGUGGGGCUAAGAGGAGGCCAGAGUAAUCCAUGCACUUCUGGAAAUUUAGUGCAAGAAUGAGCAGGUGUUGCCAAUCCAUGGGAAGAGCUUUUUUUCUUUUCUUUUUAAACAGAUAGGGUAAGGUCAACUGGUUCUUUUUUUAAAAAGAUUUUUAUUGAUUGAUUGAUCGAAUUUUGCUUUUUAGGGUCACACCUGUGGCACAUGGCUAUUCCCAGGCUAGGGGGUGGAAUCAGAGCUACAGCUGUCAGCCUACACUACAGCUCAUGGCAAUGCUGGCUCCCCAACCCACCGAGUAAGGCCGGGGAUCAAGCCCACAUCCUCAUCGACACUAGUCUGCUGUGCCACAAGCGGAACUCCUCAACUGGCUCUUUGUGUCAGUCAGGGCAUGCUCAGAAAAGGAAAAGACUAUUCAUAAGAGAAGGAAUGGAAUGGAGGGACCUGGUUACCCAAGGGGCGGGAAUAGCCAGUGGGGGCCGAGGUUGGAGGGACAGAGAGGGCUGGGGCCAGCCAGCAGAGGCUGGGGACACAGUGGGCUUACCAGGGAGAGUCAGGGCCACAAAGCAGGUGCGGCUUGUUCCAGGGAGGCCACCUGGGCAGAGUGGGAGGGACAGACACACUCCAGCCUACCUUUCCUUCUGCCCUCCAAUCAGUCUCCCUAUGACGCGGUGCUUGCUGUGACCUGAGCCCAGCUGGAAGCCAGGUUACAUAGCUGGAAACACAGCCUGUGGGGUCAACUCCCCUCGGGCCAGGGCCAAGCAGAGGAAGUUGCCAGGAUGGAGCUGGAGGCAAACAGGCCAAGACUGGAACACUGUCCUCUUGGGAGAAAAAAAAAAGUUAGGUCUCUAUUUUAUGGCUUAAAAAAAAUUGAAUUGUGGAUCAACUAAAGACCUAAAUGUAAGAAACAAAAGAACUGAAGUAUUAAAGGAAAUACAGGAGAAUGUGGUUACAACCUGGGAGCACACAAUGCUUGAAAGAAUGCACAUGUUAAAAAUAAACCAUAAAAGAAAGGACUGAUCCAGUUUGUAUUCUGAAAUGGAAAAUCUGCUUUAUGACAAAGGAAUGUCAUAAACAAAUGAGAAACAUGACAGAAAAAAAUUUGCAACAUAAAAGAAAGACAAAGGAAGUGUUCCCUGGAGGCCUAGGGGUUAAGAAUCUAGUGACGUUAUUGGUGUGACUUGGGUCACUGCUGUGGUGUGGGUUCAAUCCCUGGCCCGGGAACUUCUGUAUGCAUGGCUGAAAAAAAAAAAAAAAAAAAAA